CUUCCUUUCUGGCUUGGACAACUUUGACAACUGUCAAAGCCUGGAUAAUUUUCUCUUUCUCUUUUCUUUUAUUGUGUUACGGAACCCCAGCUGGUCUGGUUGAUUUAUGGCUGGAAAAGUUGUGUGAACCUGACAAAUAAUUUAACUGAUUAACCAACAUGUCCUGCUUGUGCAAUAGAAACAACAAAGCUUGUCAAAAGCAAUAUUCUCUACCAAACUAAGUCUAGCAGCUGCCUUCAGCAUGUUUUGCACCUGUCAAGAUCAACCUGCUUGGGGCAUCUUCCAGAGGCCCACUGGGUUAACAUACCCUAGACCUGUCUUAUGCCCUGGUAUGCUACUUCGUAGUUGCAGCAUUCCCAUGGACCGUUGACAACUGGCUCGUACUUAUUAUAGUUGCAGUGAUCAGCUUUUGUGAUCUCAGAAGAAAUCAACCCCAACAGCUCUUUAAAAGGCCAAAUCCUGAAGUUGAAACUCAAGUACUUUGGCCACCUAAUGAGAAGGAAGGACUCACUGGAGAAGAGCCUAAUGCUGGGAAAGAUUGAG